CCACCUCCGCGCCCGCCCCGCGGGCUGACCGGCCGACCGGGGCCCGCCCCCGGCGCCCACCAUGUACGCCUUUGUGCGGUUCCUGGAGGACAACGUCUGCUACGCGCUGCCUGUGUCGUGCGUGCGCGACUUCAGCCCCCGCUCGCGGCUGGAUUUUGACAACCAGAAGGUGUACGCCGUGUACCGGGGCCCGGAAGAACUGGGCGCCGGGCCCGAGAGCCCCCCGCGCGCCCCCCGCGACUGGGGCGCGCUGCUGCUCCACAAGGCCCAGAUCUUGGCGCUGGCAGAAGACAAAUCUGACCUUGAAAACAGUGUGAUGCAGAAGAAAAUAAAAAUCCCCAAACUUUCUCUCAAUCAUGUAGAAGAAGAUGGGGAAGUUAAAGAUUACGGGGAAGAAGAUUUACAGCUUAGACACAUCAAGAGACCCGAGGGGCGGAAGCCGAGUGAAGUGGCGCACAAGAGCAUCGAGGCAGUGGUGGCCCGGCUGGAGAAGCAGAACGGCCUGAGCCUGGGCCACAGCACAUGUCCGGAAGAGGUCUUCGUGGAGGCCUCACCGGGCCCAGAGGACAUGGACAGUCUGGAGGACGCCGGUGUGCCCCGGGCUCUGUAUGAGGAGCUGCUGCGCAACUACCAGCAGCAGCAGGACGAGAUGCGCCACCUCCAGCAGGAGCUGGAGCGGACUCGCAGGCAGCUGGUUCAGCAGGCUAAGAAGCUCAAGGAGUACGGGGCGCUGGUGUCCGAGAUGAAGGAGCUCCGCGACCUCAACCGGAGGCUGCAGGACGUGCUGCUCCUGAGGCUGGGCAGUGGUCCCGCCAUUGACUUGGAAAAAGUAAAGUCAGAAUGUCUCGAGCCCGAGCCGGAGUUACGGAGCACUUUCAGUGAGGAAGCAAAUACGUCGUCCUAUUACCCCGCUCCUGCACCUGUCAUGGACAAGUAUAUCCUAGACAAUGGCAAGGUCCAUCUGGGAAGCGGGAUUUGGGUUGAUGAGGAGAAAUGGCACCAGCUACAAGUAACCCAAGGAGAUUCCAAGUACACAAAGAACUUGGCAGUCAUGAUUUGGGGAACAGAUGUUCUGAAGAACAGAAGCGUCACAGGAGUUGCCACAAAAAAAAAGAAAGAUGCAGUCCCUAAGCCACCCCUCUCGCCUCACAAACUAAGCAUCGUCAGAGGCCCAGCGCAGUGCCAGUACCAGGUAGAUGCUUGGUGUGUCCAUGUGUAAAGGCAGGAUUCACGGUCCUUUUCCUGGCUGCCCAGUGGACCUGUAGACAUUUGUAUGUUCUUUGGACCCCAUUCAGAUGAUGUCAUUUGCAGCUAAUCUGGUCCCCAAUACUAAGGAACAUUCUAGAAGAAAAUACCUCAGCUGUGUGUCUUGGGGCUAUUACAGGCUCACUGUCUUCAGGCCCAUAGGCCAGGCCCUCCAAGUUUCCCUCACUGAUCCACUCCUCCAUUUUCUAAGCCCUUUUUAAACCUUCUCUACUCUUCCAGAACAUGGUAGUCCACAGCUCUCUCUUUUUCAAAAGAUGACCAUGUCUCUUCCUUCACAGAGAAAAGAAAAAGAAAUCCCACAGCUUCGAACCACCCUAUCUACAAACUUCACUGGAUCCCCCAGUCUUCUGCCUCAUGUUUCCUUCUCUUAUUUGGGACUGGCCGUUCUCUCCAACUGGAUCACAGCCCACCUGCCUUCCUAAGUACCUUGUCUCUCCUGCUCAACUGGGUCCUUCCCGGCACCAUUUAAAUAUACUUUGAUCACUCAUUUCUUACAGAAGCAAACAAAACACUCCCUAGACGUCACUUCCAUCACCCAGCUGCCGCCAUGUCUCUCCGUUCGUUUUCACAUCCAGGUUUCCUGAAAGAGUUGUCUGCAUUCACUGCCCGUGUGCACUGGGAACGCCCCUGCCAUCUGGCAUCGGCUCCCAGCCCUCUGCUUAACUCUGUCCUUGCCAGGCUUCCCCGUGGCUCCGCCUCUACCUCUUCCCCGGCCGUUUGACCUGAUCCCUCCUCCUUUACUGAGAAACCCUCCUGCAUGCUGAGGUCUCCUCCUGCCUGUGGCUUCGCAUCCCCCCUGUGGGCUCCCCUCCCGCUGCCCUCGCCUCUGUCUCCAGCCCGCUUCUCUCUCACUCUGCAACGCUGCCCUCCGCUGCUCUCACCGUCCCCAUUGCCCUCGGUGUGCUCACGGCCCUGCGUUGAAAUCCACACUCCUGGCGUCUUGGCUGCUGCCUGGUGAUCUGGCCUCUGGUGACUCCCCUGGCCUCAUCUCACACCACACUUCCCAUUUCCACUGUGCUCUAACCACUGAGGCCUUCUCCCGGCCCCCUCCUGUCCCCACUGCCAGCAGUGCCCUUCCUCUGGUCUGCACAUCCUGCCUCCUUGUCAUUCAGAGAGGCCGUCCCCGACCGCCCGGGCUGAUGAAGUAGCCCUUCCAUUGCUCUCUGUCACAUCACCCUCCCUAAAGUCCCUGCGGAGCACUUCUUCUUUGCUUGUUUAUUGCUUGAUGGUUGUCUUUUUUCCCCGCCUCCAUUAGAACAUCAGAUUUAUGAGCAUCUUGCUCAGGGCCAGCAUAUAGUCAGUGUUCAAUAAAUAUUUGUUGAAUCAGUGACUGAUUCCCAAAUCUAUAUUUGACCUCAGUUCACACUUCCACGUUCCCGACCCAUACAUCCAGGUGCCCACUGGUCACCUCCUCCUGGAUGUCCACGUGACGCUGGCACAUCUGCACUGCUCACUGCUCUCUCCUCUUCCUUCUCCCCAAAGCCUUCUGCCCCUCUGUGUUCCCUGUCUUGAUAAAUGACACCACCUGCCAGGGACCCAGAGAGGCCUCAUUCCUGACUCUUCCACGUGCCCGCUCUCCAUCUGUUCUGCCCCAAAUACCUUUUAAACCGUCCACUCCUCUCCAUACCCAUCGCGCCUCACGCAGUCCAGGCCACAUCACCUCUCCCCUGCCUUACUCCAGCAGCUGCCAGACUCUUCUCUCCAUUUGUAACCAGAGUGAUCUUUCAGAAACCCAGUAUGAUCCUGUUACCACCACCCCGUCACAGCCAGUCCCUGGUGCCCAUGAUUGAAGGAGUGUUUGUACGACAGAAUAGCACAAGAAACUGUGGAUGAAACUGAAAUUGCACAGAGACUCUCCAAAGUCAACAAGUACAUCUGUGAAAAAAUCAUGGAUAUCAAU